rnacentral:lncRNA from 1 species
CCUGAGCUCACAGCUGGGUACUACAACACCCGUUUCCGUGAUGGUUACCUUCCCAUUGCCCAGAUGCUUGCCCGCCACGGUGCAAUUUUCAACUUCACAUGUGUUGAGAUGCGAGACCAUGAGCAGCCACAAGAUGCACAAUGUGCACCUGAGAAGUUGGUUAGACAAGUGGCGUUAGCAACUCAGGAAGCACAAGUUCCCCUUGCUGGGGAGAAUGCAUUGCCACGAUAUGACGACUAUGCACAUGAACAGAUCCUUCAAGCAUGCAAUGUGCACCCGAAAAGUUGGUUAGGCAAGUGGCAUUAGCAACUCAGGAAGCUCAAGUUCCACUUGCUGGGGAGAAUGCAUUGCCAAGAUAUGACGACUAUGCACAUGAACAGAUCCUUCAAGCAUCCUCAUUAAAUAUCGAUGAUCAAUCAAGUGACAGAGAGAUGUGUGCAUUUACUUAUUUGAGGAUGAAUCCAGACCUGUUCCAUCCUGAUAAUUGGAGGCGAUUCGUCGCUUUUGUGAAGAAAAUGAAAGAAGGAAAGGACGCGCACCGCUGUCAGGAGCAACUAGAGCAAGAGGCAGAACAUUUUGUGCAUAUAACUCAGCCUUUUGUGCAAGAAGCUGCAGUGGCCCUCAUGCACUAAACAAAUCUCGGCUGUAAACUUGUGCAAAAUGGAUGCAAAAUACCUUGUAGCAUGCAGUUUUUCAGCAUGUUACCGGGAUCUUAUCUUUCUCGUUCUAUUUAUGUUGUAAAGCAUAUUAUCGUGUAAUUUUUUAAACUUAGAUGUGUUAAUGAUAUGAUACAUAAUUCAGUAGUAACUCCAACUCUUGAUUCUCAGAUAAUCCUGUUGUAUAUUCUUAAUUUUCAGAGUAGUAAAUAUAAUUCAACUCUUGUUUCUCGGACAGUACUGCUAAAACCUUCCCCAUCUACUGUAAACAUGGAGAAUCGGAGAUCGAGAAAA